UACGGAGGGGGCAAGCGUUGUUCGGAAUUACUGGGCGUAAAGAGCUCGUAGGUGGUUUGUCGCGUUGUUCGUGAAAACCGGGGGCUUAACCCUCGGCGUGCGGGCGAUACGGGCAGACUUGAGUACUGCAGGGGAGACUGGAAUUCCUGGUGUAGCGGUGGAAUGCGCAGAUAUCAGGAGGAACGCCGGUGGCGAAGGCGGGUCUCUGGGCAGUAACUGACGCUGAGGAGCGAAAGCGUGGGGAGCGAACAGG
rnacentral:rRNA from 1 species